UCCCACCCUUGUCUGCUCCGAGAUUAUUAUUUUUAAAAGUGUGGAUCAACUUUAGGUAAAGACAACCUACCUAAAGUUGAUCCACACUUUUAAAAAUAAUAAUCUCGGAGCAGACAAGGGUGGGAA